rnacentral:misc_RNA from 1 species
UUUCCGUAGGUGAACCUGCGGAAGGAUCAUUAACACGUUUCGUUCCGAACGUUUUCUGACCCAUUCUAUUUUCCGUGCACUUUCAACCCGGCCUCCCGCCCGCUCCUCUCAGUUUAUUCUGUCUGUGAUUGUGCCGGGCGUCGUUGGGGUUCAUAGGAGUCUUUGUUCCGAAAAAUUGUCCGGGCGUAAUGCUCGUCGUUUUAGUAGGAACUUAGACACCUCCCAAGGGCGUUGCCAAAUAACCCAAAACCCCCUUAAAUCUAAUUGCUCUGAACUCGUAAGUUGGGACUAACCCCUUCGGGGUGACGUUUCAACGACAAAAAACAAAAAAACAACUCUUAACAAUGGAUAUCUUGGUUCUC